UAGUUUGGAUUCACCGUUCUACACUCAGUUUCGUUUAAGCUUUGCUACACCUUAUUUUGUUCUGUCAUAGUGGGUGUUUUGUUAAGUUUUCUUUGU